GAUGAAGAACGCAGCGAAAUGCGAUAAGUAGUGUGAAUUGCAGAAUUCAGUGAAUCAUCGAAUCUUUGAACGCACAUUGCGCCCUUUGGUAUUCCUUAGGGCAUGCCUGUUCGAGCGUCAUUUAAACCUUCAAGCCCUGCUUGGUGUUGGGUGCCUGUCCCGCCCCCGCGCGUGGACUCACCUCAAAUCCAUUGGCGGCCCCCGCAAGGCCACGAGCGCAGCAGAAACGCAAACUCGUGUGCCCGGCGGGCGGCUCCCAGAAGCUACACCCACCAUUUUGACCUCGGAUCAGGUAGGGAUACUCGCUGAACUUAAGCAUAUCAAUAAGCGGAGGA
rnacentral:misc_RNA from 1 species